rnacentral:rRNA from 3 species
CAGGAUGAACGCUGGCGGCGUGCUUAACACAUGCAAGUCGAACGGUGAAGCAGGAGCUUGCUCUUGUGGAUCAGUGGCGAACGGGUGAGUAACACGUGAGCAACCUGCCCCUGACUCUGGGAUAAGCGCUGGAAACGGCGUCUAAUACUGGAUACGAACCGCAGCCGCAUGGCUAGUGGUUGGAAAGAUUUUUCGGUCUGGGAUGGGCUCACGGCCUAUCAGCUUGUUGGUGAGGUAAUGGCUCACCAAGGCGUCGACGGGUAGCCGGCCUGAGAGGGUGACCGGCCACACUGGGACUGAGACACGGCCCAGACUCCUACGGGAGGCAGCAGUGGGGAAUAUUGCACAAUGGGCGAAAGCCUGAUGCAGCAACGCCGCGUGAGGGAUGACGGCCUUCGGGUUGUAAACCUCUUUUAGCAGGGAAGAAGCGAAAGUGACGGUACCUGCAGAAAAAGCGCCGGCUAACUACGUGCCAGCAGCCGCGGUAAUACGUAGGGCGCAAGCGUUAUCCGGAAUUAUUGGGCGUAAAGAGCUCGUAGGCGGUUUGUCGCGUCUGCUGUGAAAUCCCGAGGCUCAACCUCGGACCUGCAGUGGGUACGGGCAGACUAGAGUGCGGUAGGGGAGAUUGGAAUUCCUGGUGUAGCGGUGGAAUGCGCAGAUAUCAGGAGGAACACCGAUGGCGAAGGCAGAUCUCUGGGCCGUAACUGACGCUGAGGAGCGAAAGGGUGGGGAGCAAACAGGCUUAGAUACCCUGGUAGUCCACCCCGUAAACGUUGGGAACUAGUUGUGGGGUCCUUUCCACGGAUUCCGUGACGCAGCUAACGCAUUA